GACGAACGCUGGCGGCGUGCUUAACACAUGCAAGUCGAACGGAAAGGCCCUGCUUUUGUGGGGUGCUCGAGUGGCGAACGGGUGAGUAACACGUGAGUAACCUGCCCUUGACUUUGGGAUAACUUCAGGAAACUGGGGCUAAUACCGGAUAGGAGCUCCUGCUGCAUGGUGGGGGUUGGAAAGUUUCGGCGGUUGGGGAUGGACUCGCGGCUUAUCAGCUUGUUGGUGGGGUAGUGGCUUACCAAGGCUUUGACGGGUAGCCGGCCUGAGAGGGUGACCGGCCACAUUGGGACUGAGAUACGGCCCAGACUCCUACGGGAGGCGGCAGUGGGGAAUAUUGCACAAUGGGCGGAAGCCUGAUGCAGCAACGCCGCGUGCGGGAUGACGGCCUUCGGGUUGUAAACCGCUUUCGCCUGUGACGAAGCGUGAGUGACGGGAAUGGGUAAAGAAACACCGGCUAACUACGU
rnacentral:rRNA from 1 species